rnacentral:rRNA from 1 species
AACGUAGGAGACAAACGUUAUCCGGAGUUACUGGGCGUAAAGGGCGUGUAGGUGGUUUCGUAAGUCUGGCGUGAAAUUUCUCGGCUUAACCGAGGCAGGUCGUCGGAUACUGCGGAACUAGAGGACGGUAGAGGCGUGUGGAAUUCCGGGGUGUAGUGGUGAAAUGCGUAGAGAUCCGGAGGAACACCAGUGGCGAAGGCGACACGCUGGGCCGUACCUGACACUGAGGCGCGAUAGCAUGGGGGAGCAAACAGG